CUAUUACAUUUUUAUUGCCACUUUUAAAGGGAUCAAAGAAAAGCAGCAAAUUUACUUGUGACGUGGUUGUCAAAGCGUAUACGAGUAUACUGAAAAGUUCGAAACGAAAAGAUUUAAAUGAUUCAACGAAUAUUUUAAUAGUAUCUAGAAGGCCCAUGGAUGUAGAAACUCGUUCCAGAUGUUUUUGUGUUUGGAACUGUCGAUGUCAUUGCAUUGGUAAAAUAGAAACGUUCAGGGAUAUCAAUGCUUGUCAAAAAAUGAGCUAUACGGCAGAAAAAGAUGCCGGAUUACUGCUGAACUGUCCGUCCAACGAUGAUUUUAGUGAUUUCUGUUCAAUGGACUUAAGUAAUGAUAAAAUCGUUAACGAUUCAUCAUCUGAUACUCUUUACAAAGUGGUUGAAGUGAUUCUUGUAUUAUUUAUAGUACUGUUUUUAUUAGUUUUAUAUUGUUGCAAAUGCUUUGCACCAAGAAAGGAAGACCUUAUUGUUGCAAGUACAGAAUGGUUCUGCUGUCCUGAAAACAACUUAAUUACUUGUUCUAAAUAUAAUAACAAGUUACGGGAACCAUCACGAUCAUUAUGCACAUGUUCAUAUUCUAACAAAUAUUUUACGAAAGCAGACGUGAUACCAUCUACCAAUGUUUCGAUAUGUCCGUCGCUAGAAUUGUCACGAAAACAAUCGAAACAAACCGAUUUAUUGGAGACUGCUUUGGUUACGCUCGCAAGACAGCAGAAAGAUCUAAGAAAGCAAUCAAUGAAAAAAGAAUGGUGAUCAUUCAACUUGUCAUGGUUAUUAUAGAACAAUUUAUAAUGUUGUUGAUAUUUUUAAUUUGCUUACCAUUAGUAAAAACUCACGCUGUUUACAC